AAAAGGUUAUGACUCUAAAAUAAGAGCUUGCCUUGAAGGGGUUAAGGUUUUAGCAUGGGUUUAGUUUAAAUAAUUUUAUAGCAAACUAAGCUUAAAUCAUGGCAUUGGUAAGCCCUAAAAGGGGUGUUCCCGACAUGGUUAGUGAUGGAUUAAAUCUGGUAUAAACCUCGUAAUUCCGUUGGUAAGUCCUGUAUGGCUGGUUGAAUCGCCUAUGGAUGUUCCCG
rnacentral:lncRNA from 1 species